AUACGGAGGGUGCAAGCGUUACUCGGAAUCACUGGGCGUAAAGCGCGCGCAGGCGGUCUUUUAAGUUGGAUGUGAAAGCCUACGGCUCAACCGUAGAACUGCAUCCAAAACUAUUAGACUAGAGUGUGGGAGAGGAAGAUGGAAUUAGUUGUGUAGGGGUAAAAUCCGUAGAGAUAACUAGGAAUACCAAAAGCGAAGGCAAUCUUCUGGAACACUACUGACGCUGAGGCGCGAAAGCGUGGGGCGCAAACAGGAUUAGAAACCCUAGUAGUCC
rnacentral:rRNA from 1 species